rnacentral:rRNA from 1 species
CCUACGGGUGGCAGCAGUGGGGAAUAUUGGGCAAUGGGCGCAAGCCUGACCCAGCAACGCCGCGUGAAGGAAGAAGGCUUUCGGGUUGUAAACCUCUUUUGUCAGGGACGAAGCAAGUGACGGUACCUGACGAAUAAGCCACUGCUAACUACGUGCCAGCAGCCGCGGUAAUACGUAGGUGGCAAGCGUUAGCCGGAUGUAUUGGGUGUAAAGGGCGUGUAGGCGGGAAUGCAAGGCAGAUGUGAAAACUAUGGGCUAAACCCAUAGCCUGCAUUUGAAACUGUAUUGCGUGAGUGCUGGAGAGGCAAGCGGAAUUCCGGGUGUAGCGGUGAAAUGCGUAGAUAUACGGAGGAACACCAGUGGCGAAGGCGGAUUGCUGGACAGUAACUGACGCUGAGGCGCGAAAGCGUGGGGAGCAAACAGGAUUAGAUACCCGAGUAGUC